UGGGGAAUAUUGGGCAAUGGGCGAAAGCCUGACCCAGCGACGCCGCGUGGGUGAUGAAGGCCUUCGGGUUGUAAAACCCUUUCGUGCGGAAAGAAUAGUCUCGUAGUGAAUAACUACGGGAUUUGACGGUACCGCAGGAAGAAGCACCGGCUAACUCCGUGCCAGCAGCCGCGGUAAUACGGAGGGUGCAAGCGUUGUUCGGAAUUAUUGGGCGUAAAGGGCGCGUAGGUGGUUGUGAUAGUCAGAUGUGAAAUCCUUCGGCUCAACCGAAGAACUGCAUCUGAAACUUCAUAGCUCGAGUACAGGAGAGGGAAACGGAAUUCCCGGUGUAGAGGUGAAAUUCGUAGAUAUCGGGAGGAACACCAGUGGCGAAGGCGGUUUCCUGGCCUGAUACUGACGCUGAGGCGCGAAAGCGUGGGGAGCAAACAG
rnacentral:rRNA from 1 species